UGAGGAAUAUUGGUCAAUGGGCGCAAGCCUGAACCAGCCAUCCCGCGUGCAGGAAGACGGCCCUAUGGGUUGUAAACUGCUUUUCCAGGGGGAGAAUUUUUCUGUCGUGACCGGUAUUGACGGUACCCUGGGAAUAAGCAUCGGCUAACUCCGUGCCAGCAGCCGCGGUAAUACGGAGGAUGCGAGCGUUGUCCGGAUUUAUUGGGUUUAAAGGGUGCGUAGGCGGAUAGGUAAGUCAGUGGUGAAAACCUGCAGCUUAACUGUAGACUUGCCGUUGAUACUGGCAGUCUUGAGUAUGGUGAAGGUAGGCGGAAUGUGUAAUGUAGCGGUGAAAUGCUUAGAUAUUACACAGAACACCGAUUGCGAAGGCAGCUUGCUGAGCCAUUACUGACGCUGAUGCACGAAAGCGUGGGGAUCGAACA
rnacentral:rRNA from 1 species